rnacentral:lncRNA from 1 species
GCUGUUGGUUUGGCUUUCCGAGGGGCUGUCCUGCUAUAAAUAGGGCACUGUACCUCUUUUUGCAUUUUUCCUACUGCAUUCUUUUGAGAGCCUUUCUUCUUCUUGCUUCUUUCUGCGUCCUUUACUUUUCUGAGAAAAACUUCGAACGGCCUCGUUUGUUUGCUGCUGGUGAUUUUAUACCGAGAGAGUAACCGUUCUUCUUCUUCAGAGCUUUAUUUGGUACGUACCUCUUUGUUACUGUCAUUCCUUUGGUUGCAUUCGCUGGUUCUUUAAACUUGGUUUCUGGCUUGCUUGGGCAUUAUUUUGGACAAGUCGCUUGUAAUUGUUGUUGCAUGUUGGUAUUUUGUUGGUGCUCGGGGGGGUUUUUGAGGGGUUUUUCUGACUGCUUUGGGUUAGGGUUUGUGUAUUUUCUGACUGUUUGGUUUGAACCGUUUGCGUUGGUUUUGUAUGUAGAUUUUGGUUUGGCUUUGUGGUAAGAAAUGGCUCCAAAAAAGACUGUUUCAUUUGCCCGGGUCAACGAGGCUGGCGAAAAGGCGA